rnacentral:lncRNA from 1 species
UCAUAAUAAGCAUAUUAUUUCCUUUUUACUUGUUUGGAUCCUACCCGAACUAUAGCCCCAGUCUAAUUCCUCUGUAUUGGGGUCUUGGCUGGGCUCAUAAGUUUUAAUUGGCCUUCCGAUUGGCCAAUAAGCUUAAUUCCAGCUUAAUUGGGUUUAAAUUUCGGGUUUAGGGUCACUGUGACCCGUUUGGGCCUGAGUCAGGGUCAAUCCGGGAUCAAUUUGGCCCCAAAUUAAUUACAUUGGCUUGAAUUGGGCUUUAAUUGGGCCGAUUUAUAUUCAAUUGGGUCUGCUGGAAUUAACUCCACUUAAUUGGGUUCGGACCCAAAUCAAUUUGGGUUUAUUUCGGUUCGGAUUUGAUCCAAAUUGGUAGUUUGAGCUCGUUCAGACUUAACCCAAUUUACUUGGGCUCGGGUUCAGGUUUAAUUGUGUUCAGAUUCCACUCCAUCUCUCAUCCAGGUUCACCCAAAUAGAUUGGGUCUGGUUUCAUUGGGUUUACCUAACCCAUUUGCUUUCCCUUUUUUUUUUU